UCUCAAUACAAUUAUUUGAGGAGUCCACUCCACAGGCUAUGUCGACACCAGAGUAGUUAAACUCCGUUCUGUCACAGACUACGUGACAAAAUAAAAUUUUAAUUUAAUUAUAUAUAAAAUACUUAUAUAUGUGCCAAUAAGUAAAUUCAAUUUCACGAAUUAAAACUAAACUUUCUCAGUUGUGUGGUAAACGAAAAACAAAAAUCUACUUAUUGACAGUUAUUAAAUAGGGCCCUUAUUAAGGAGAAACAAGGUUUACGUUUCAAUGUAGCGUUUUAAGUUUACUGUAACGAGGAAGUUUUCGUUUUAGUUAAACUCGUUACCUAAGAAAUAGAAAUAGGAUUUCAUGUGGUUUUGUGUUGACAACUCGUUAGGUGUUUCUGUUUUGCAUAGGCUGAAAGUUCUUGCGAUAAGUUGCUUAAAUUUUAUUAAAGGUUUAAAAAGAACAUUGUUGAGCCUAAAUAUAAAGUUUAUCUAUAUUCAGAGCUAUCACUCUACGUUAGACUGUUUACGAUUUACUUCUCGACGGAUCUAUAAUGUACAACCGCUUCAUAAGACAGAAACUAAACAAAAAGCAGACUGGCCAUAUUACUAAAGGUUCAAACAAACUUUUUCAAUUGAAAGUAUUAGAAAGACAUCUUAAACAAACUAGGAGGAAAUUUGCAAGGAUUGAACAACAGACAUAUGCCAACACAGCACAUCUUUUCUCAAAUCAACUACUCUCCACACAAGGGAUGAUUCAAAAAAAUUACAUGUUUUUUAAAAGCAUGACAACCAUGUUAACAUCUAUGCUCACACUCUUUACUACAAUAAAAAGAAAGAUAUAAUUGUUACAAAUUUACUUACAUCUUCAAAGAAAUAAGGGUUUCUCAUUAAAUUUUAAAAUUACUGAGAUUUUUAAUAAUGCAAGUCAUUAG